rnacentral:rRNA from 1 species
CGCUCCUUGUUUUACCAAAUAUAAGGAGUAGGACCUGCCCGGUGAGAUUUUUAACGGCCGCGGUACUCUGACCGUGCAAAGGUAGCAUAAUCAUUUGCCUUAUAAUUGAAGGCUUGUAUGAAUGGUUUGACGAAAUCGAUACUGUCUCUUUUUUACUUUGUAGAAUUUGACUUAAGGGUGAAGAGGCCCUUAUCUUACUGAAGGACAAGAAGACCCUGUCGAGCUUAAAGAAUAGAUGGAGAAUUAAUAUAAAACUAAAUAAAUAGAUUACUAGAUAAUUCUUUUGGUUGGGGCGACUAAGGAACAGAAAAAGCUUCCUUUAUUCUUUAUAUCUUACAGGUUAAAGAUCCAGCUAUGCUGAUUGUAGAAAUUAGUUACCGCAGGGAUAACAGCAUAAUCUCUCUUAAGAGACCAUAUCGAAAGGGGGGGUUGUGACCUCGAUGUUGGACUAGGAUAUCCUAAAGAUGUAGAAGUCUUUGAGGGUUGGUCUGUUCGACCAUUAAAAUCCU